rnacentral:rRNA from 1 species
GAUGAACGCUAGCGGCAGGCCUAACACAUGCAAGUCGAGGGGUAGAAGUUUUCGGACUUUGAGACCGGCGCACGGGUGCGUAACGCGUAUGCAAUCUGCCUUACACUAAGGGAUAGCCCAGAGAAAUUUGGAUUAAUACCUUAUAGUAUAUUGAUGUGGCAUCACAUUAUUAUUAAAGAUUUAUUGGUGUAAGAUGAGCAUGCGUCCCAUUAGCUAGUUGGUAUGGUAACGGCAUACCAAGGCUAUGAUGGGUAGGGGUCCUGAGAGGGAGAUCCCCCACACUGGUACUGAGACACGGACCAGACUCCUACGGGAGGCAGCAGUGAGGAAUAUUGGUCAAUGGGCGCAAGCCUGAACCAGCCAUGCCGCGUGCAGGAUGAAGCAUCUAUGGUGUGUAAACUGCUUUUGUACGGGAAGAAACACCUCUACGUGUAGAGGCUUGACGGUACCGUAAGAAUAAGGAUCGGCUAACUCCGUGCCAGCCGCCGCGGUAA